rnacentral:rRNA from 1 species
AGAGUUUGAUCAUGGCUCAGGACGAACGCUGGCGGCGUGCCUAAUACAUGCAAGUCGAGCGAAUUUACGAGAGCUUGCUCUCGUAAAUUAGCGGCGGACGGGUGAGUAACACGUGGGCAACCUGCCUAUAAGACUGGGAUAACUUCGGGAAACCGGAGCUAAUACCGGAUAAUUCACAUCUACUCAUGUAGAUGUGCUGAAAGACGGUUUACGCUGUCACUUAUAGAUGGGCCCGCGGCGCAUUAGCUAGUUGGUGAGGUAACGGCUCACCAAGGCCACGAUGCGUAGCCGACCUGAGAGGGUGAUCGGCCACACUGGGACUGAGACACGGCCCAGACUCCUACGGGAGGCAGCAGUAGGGAAUCUUCCGCAAUGGACGAAAGUCUGACGGAGCAACGCCGCGUGAGUGAUGAAGGUUUUCGGAUCGUAAAACUCUGUUGUUAGGGAAGAACAAGUACCAGAGUAACUGCUGGUACCUUGACGGUACCUAACCAGAAGCC